rnacentral:misc_RNA from 1 species
CCUUCAAGCGUAGCUGGUAUUGGGCGUUUCGCGGGCCCUCUUCGGGGGGCCUGCGCGUCCGAAAAGCAGUGGCGGUCCCCGGGGAUUUCGCGCGUAGUAAAUAUUCUCCCGCGUUGGAAAGAACCGAUGGGUCUGGCCAAAACCCCCCAUAAAUCUCCAUGAUUGACCUCGGAUCAGGUAGGGAUACCCGCUGAACUUAA